rnacentral:rRNA from 1 species
GAUGAACGCUGGCGGCGUGCCUAAUACAUGCAAGUCGAGCGAACAGAUGAGGAGCUUGCUCCUCUGACGUUAGCGGCGGACGGGUGAGUAACACGUGGAUAACCUACCUAUAAGACUGGGAUAACUUCGGGAAACCGGAGCUCAUACCGGAUAAUAUAUUGAACCGCAUGGUUCAAUAGUGAAAGACGGUUUUGCUGUCACUUAUAGAUGGAUCCGCGCCGCAUUAGCUAGUUGGUAAGGUAACGGCUUACCAAGGCAACGAUGCGUAGCCGACCUGAGAGGGUGAUCGGCCACACUGGAACUGAGACACGGUCCAGACUCCUACGGGAGGCAGCAGUAGGGAAUCUUCCGCAAUGGGCGAAAGCCUGACGGAGCAACGCCGCGUGAGUGAUGAAGGUCUUCGGAUCGUAAAACUCUGUUAUUAGGGAAGAACAAAUGUGUAAGUAACUAUGCACGUCUUGACGGUACCUAAUCAGAAAGCCACGGCUAACUACGUG